AACGAACGCUGGCGGCAGGCCUAACACAUGCAAGUCGAGCGAAGCCUUCGGGCUUAGCGGCGGACGGGCGAGUAACGCGUGGGAACGUGCCCUUUGGUACGGAAUAGCCCCGGGAAACUGGGAGUAAUACCGUAUGUGGUCGAGAGACGAAAGAUUUAUCGCCAAAGGAUCGGCCCGCGUUGGAUUAGGUAGUUGGUGGGGUAAUGGCCUACCAAGCCGACGAUCCAUAGCUGGUUUGAGAGGAUGAUCAGCCACACUGGGACUGAGACACGGCCCAGACUCCUACGGGAGGCAGCAGUGGGGAAUCUUAGACAAUGGGGAAACCCUGAUCUAGCCAUGCCGCGUGAUCGAUGAAGGCCUUAGGGUUGUAAAGAUCUUUCAGUGGGGAAGAUAAUGACUGUACCCACAGAAGAAGCCCCGGCUAACUCCGUGCCAGCCGCCGCUGUAAAAC
rnacentral:rRNA from 1 species